UCUAAAUUAACUUCAAUUAUCUGAAACCCCUCAGCUCAAGCUAAAUCUCCCGAAUUUAGCUUUAGCCACUCAUUUUUUGGGAUUCCAUUCAAUUUAAACAUAUAUUUUAAUCCAAAUAAAUUGUAGUUUACUUAACUUUGCAUUGAAUUAAUAUAAUUUUUAUUUAAGAGUUUAUCUGACGAUUAUUAGUGAGGUAAAGGGCCUUUGUUUUUGCCGAUCUCCAACUGCCCCUGCCCCUGCCGGGCGGGGUGGCUCCCUCCCCAUCGCCGGAUGUGGGUUUUUCUACCUACUCUUCCGGGUGAAGGUGGAGGUCUUCUGAAGCUAAGCCUUUGAAGAUUUUGUUCCAAAUGAUGGAGGGGUGGCAUCCUCACAAAGCUUUUUCCUUCAUCCACCAGGGUCAUCGUCUUUGGAGUCCUCCUCCUUACCUCUGGCGAUGGAGAUUGGACUUGAUUGUAGAAGUAUACCAUUCUCUUUCUCAGGCAUCUAGCGGUUCACCGCCCCCUUCUCGACCUGCAUGUGUGUUUAUAUUUGAUCCAAGAUUUGAUCUCCUUCCUUAAUCUUUUGGUUGCUGGUAGUUUUUUUUUUUUUUUAUGGUUUAUCCUCCGUUCAUCAUUAGUCUUUGAUGGCCUUGACUUCUAUUGCUGGAGGACUACUUACAUGUCGACAAUGUUGCCGAAGAGAUUAAGGAAGGAGAGCAUUGCCGAAGAGAUUAAGGAAGGCGAGUGGCGCUUUUGUGGUAGCUGGUCGGGUUGGGUAUCAGAUCAAGGUUGUUGUUCGGGUCUUAGAGUUUGAAGUUCUUGGGCUGCUUUCUUUGAACCUUAAAAUCUUGAGAGUUUAUAAUAAAAUAGUUUUUUAUAUAA